rnacentral:rRNA from 1 species
UACGAAGGGGGCUAGCGUUGUUCGGAAUCACUGGGCGUAACGGGCGCGUAGGCGGCUUUUCACGUCGGGGGUGAAAGCCUGUGGCUCAACCACAGAAUUGCCUUCGAUACUGUUAGGCUUGAGACCGGAAGAGGUGAGUGGAACUGCGAGUGUAGAGGUGAAAUUCGUAGAUAUUCGCAAGAACACCAGUGGCGAAGGCGGCUCACUGGUCCGGUUCUGACGCUGAGGCGCGAAAGCGUGGGGAGCAAACAGG